CUUCAGGGACCCAAGCCACAACGGCACGUCACGAUCCUGGCCGUACGUCGCCAGCAAUGCCUGCGCCUC
rnacentral:antisense_RNA from 1 species